rnacentral:pre_miRNA from 1 species
ACGGCACCCUGACGAGCAGUCGCUGGCCAUGUCACAAGAGCGGAAUUGACUUUCUUGUGCGUGUGACAGCGGCUAUUGGGGAGUGCUCACAACGUCG